GAUGAACGCUGGCGGCGUGCUUAACACAUGCAAGUCGAACGGUGAAGGCGGAGCUUGCUCUGCUGGAUCAGUGGCGAACGGGUGAGUAACACGUGAGCAAUCUGCCCCUGACUCUGGGAUAAGCGCUGGAAACGGCGUCUAAUACUGGAUACGAGCUGCGAAGGCAUCUUCAGCAGCUGGAAAGAAUUUCGGUCAGGGAUGAGCUCGCGGCCUAUCAGCUUGUUGGUGAGGUAAUGGCUCACCAAGGCGUCGACGGGUAGCCGGCCUGAGAGGGUGACCGGCCACACUGGGACUGAGACACGGCCCAGACUCCUACGGGAGGGAGCAGUGGAGAAUAUUGCACAAUGGGCGAAGGCCUGAUGCAGCAACGCCGCGUGGGGGACGACGGCCUUCGGGUUGUAAACCUCUUUUAGCAGGGAAGAAGCGAAAGUGACGGUACCUGCAGAAAAAGCGCCGGCUAACUACGUG
rnacentral:rRNA from 1 species